rnacentral:rRNA from 1 species
CAAUAGCAUAUAUUAACGUUGUUGCAGUUGAAAAGCUCGUAGUUGAACUUUUGGUGUGUUUUGACCGGUGUUUUUCUCGUAUGAGGAUCACGACUGUGUCGAGGCUGGCCAUCGUUUGGUUUCUAUUUGUAGGGGCCGAUCAUUUACUGUGAGAAAACUGGAGUGCUCAAAACAAGACGUAUUGUUUGGAACAUUAAAGCAUGGAAUAAUAAGAUAGGACUUGGUUGCUAUUUUGUUGGUUUGCACAGCCGAGUAAUGAUUAACAGGGACAGUUGGGGGUAUUCGUAUUUAAUUGUCAGAGGUGAAAUUCUUGGAUUUAUGAAAGACGAACGACUGCGAAAGCAUUUACCAAGGAUGUUUUCAUUAA